UCAGGACGAACGCUGGCGGCGUGCCUAAUACAUGCAAGUCGAGCGCGGGAAGCAAGCGGAUCCCCUUCGGGGGUGAAGCUUGUGGAACGAGCGGCGGACGGGUGAGUAACACGUGGGCAACCUGCCUGUAAGACCGGAAUAACCCCGGGAAACCGGGGCUAAUGCCGGGUAACACCUACCUUCGCAUGAAGGAAGGUUAAAAGAUGGCUUCUUGCUAUCACUUACAGAUGGGCCCGCGGCGCAUUAGCUAGUUGGUGAGGUAACAGCUCACCAAGGCGACGAUGCGUAGCCGACCUGAGAGGGUGAUCGGCCACACUGGGACUGAGACACGGCCCAGACUCCUACGGGAGGCAGCAGUAGGGAAUCUUCCGCAAUGGACGAAAGUCUGACGGAGCAACGCCGCGUGAACGAUGAAGGUCUUCGGAUCGUAAAGUUCUGUUGUUAGGGAAGAACAAGUACCGUGCGAAUAGAGCGGUACCUUGACGGUACCUAACGAGGAAGCCCCGGCUAACUACGUGCCAGCAGCCGCGGUAAUACGUAGGGGGCAAGCGUUGUCCGGAAUUAUUGGGCGUAAAGCGCGCGCAGGCGGUUUCUUAAGUCUGAUGUGAAAGCCCACGGCUCAACCGUGGAGGGUCAUUGGAAACUGGGGAACUUGAGGACAGAAGAGGAGAGUGGAAUUCCACGUGUAGCGGUGAAAUGCGUAGAUAUGUGGAGGAACACCAGUGGCGAAGGCGACUCUCUGGUCUGUUUCUGACGCUGAGGUGCGAAAGCGUGGGUAGCAAACAGGAUUAGAUACCCUGGUAGUCCACGCCGUAAACGAUGAGUGCUAGGUGUUAGGGGGCUUCCACCCCUUAGUGCUGAAGUUAACGCAUUAAGCACUCCGCCUGGGGAGUACGGCCGCAAGGCUGAAACUCAAAGGAAUUGACGGGGGCCCGCACAAGCGGUGGAGCAUGUGGUUUAAUUCGAAGCAACGCGAAGGAACCUUACCCAGGGUCCUUGACAUCCCUUGGACCCACCCCUAAGAAGAUUAGGGUUCUUUCCCUUUCGGGGGACCAAAG
rnacentral:rRNA from 1 species